CAUUAACAUAUACAUGAACGUGGGUAAUGCUAGAAAGUCUUGUAACUUAAAACGGAGGUAGUAUUUUUUUAUUGUUAUAAGAUGAUAAAAUAUGAAUAAUACUUUAUGCGUGACUCAUGUUCUCAAAUUUUUCUAAAAACUUUUCAAAUAAGACGGACGGUCAAAAUUGGGCACGAAAAAUCAUGGCUGCACUUAUA
rnacentral:pre_miRNA from 1 species